UGGGGAAUUUUGGACAAUGGGCGAAAGCCUGAUCCAGCAAUGCCGCGUGUGUGAAGAAGGCCUUCGGGUUGUAAAGCACUUUUGUCCGGAAAGAAAUCCUUGGCUCUAAUACAGUCGGGGGAUGACGGUACCGGAAGAAUAAGCACCGGCUAACUACGUGCCAGCAGCCGCGGUAAUACGUAGGGUGCAAGCGUUAAUCGGAAUUACUGGGCGUAAAGCGUGCGCAGGCGGUUUGCUAAGACCGAUGUGAAAUCCCCGGGCUCAACCUGGGAACUGCAUUGGUGACUGGCAGGCUAGAGUAUGGCAGAGGGGGGUAGAAUUCCACGUGUAGCAGUGAAAUGCGUAGAGAUGUGGAGGAAUACCGAUGGCGAAGGCAGCCCCCUGGGCCAAUACUGACGCUCAUGCACGAAAGCGUGGGGAGCAAAACAGGAUUAGAUACCCUGGUAGUCCACGCCCUAAAACGAUGUCAACUAGUUGUUGGGGGAUUCAUUUCCUUAGUAACGUAGCUAACGCGUGAAGUUGACCGCCUGGGGAGUACGGUCGCAAGAUUAAAACUCAAAUGAAUUGACGGGGUCAUAGCUGUUUCCU
rnacentral:rRNA from 1 species